AGGCUUGUAUGAUGCUAUGUUUUGGAUUUUUGAUUAAAAUAAUGGUGAUAACAUGCUGAUAUUUUACUUGUUGCAGAGAAGUGCUCACAUAGAGCCAAGGACUUUUCAGCUGCUGGCACUGCCCUGCCAGUGAGAAGGCUGAGAGUGCACUGGGAGCUGGGAGGGGACACAGCUAGGACAGCCACCUAUAGAAAGCUGAUGCUGGAGAAGGCUCCUGGCAGCAACUGUAGCCCAUGAUGAGGAACCCAUGGAGGAGCAGGAAAGGGAUCGACUCUUGCUAAGGAUCCAGUGAUACCCUAUUUUUCUGAAGAGCUCGUAGAGUUACCUUACUAUCAAAGUCCAUAUAUCGAUAUAACUGUGAACAUGGAUACAUUGCAUACCACAGAGAAUGAAUUAAUAAAGAUAUUACUUAGAAGUUAUGGCUAACA
rnacentral:lncRNA from 1 species